UACAGGGGGUGCAAACGUUGCUCGGAAUUAUUGGGCGUAAAGCGCACGUAGGCGGUUUGUUAUGUCGGAUGUGAAAGCCCUUGGCUUAACUGAGGAAGUGCAUCCGAAACUGGCAAGCUAGAGUACUAAAGAGGGUCGCGGAAUUCCCGGUGUAGAGGUGAAAUUCGUAGAUAUCGGGAGGAACACCAGUGGCGAAGGCGGCGACCUGGGCCAAUACUGACGCUGAGGUGCGAAAGCGUGGGGAGCAAACAGG
rnacentral:rRNA from 1 species